rnacentral:rRNA from 1 species
CACGUAGGGGACGAGCGUUGUCCGGAUUCAUUGGGCGUAAAGCGCGCGUAGGCGGCUCGGAAAGUCGGUCGUGAAAUGCCGGGGCUCAACCCCGGGACUGCGUCCGAUACUCCCGAGCUGGAGGCAGGUAGGGGAGAGUCGGAAUUCCUGGUGUAGCGGUGAAAUGCGCAGAUAUCAGGAGGAACACCGGUGGCGAAGGCGGAUCUCCUGGGCCUUGCCUGACGCUGAGGCGCGAAAGCUAGGGGAGCGAACAGGA